rnacentral:tRNA from 1 species
GGCCUUGUAUUCAUUUUGUGAUUACAGAAUGCAAUUCUGUAGGGGUAGAGGUUGAAUCUAUCAAGGCCU